rnacentral:sRNA from 1 species
AUCGGCAUUGCUGAUGAGCGCUGGAAGGUAUCUGUCGCUCGCAAUCGCCGCAAUUGCUUUUCAGCUUUUGACCACGGAUGUACUGGCACUGGUGUGAGUAGCGAUGUGAGGAAGGUCGGUGCGGUUUCGCCCCGGCCUUUUUUGUU